rnacentral:lncRNA from 1 species
UAGCAAAGGAAAGUUAAACAUACGACAUGAACUGAAUUAACCAGUGCGCAUGACUAGUAAAAAAAACAAACAUCCUUUGACAUCAAGUUUCUAAUUAAAUCAUGGAUGCGCUUGGGCAGCCUUAAUAUGAGAGUGAAAGUGGACGUGCUGCUACUCCCCUCAUUCCCAACAUAUAUCAAGUACCUGCAUUGAGUAAUGCAAGAGUGAGAUGACACAUCUCAGCAAGUAAAAUAAUAACAAACUGUUUAACCAUAUAAGAACAUUGUUUUACCACCAUUUGAUUUCGCAACCUUCUUAUUACGAAGGUGCAGCACGAAUACAACGUACAACACACCUAGUUACCACACCUUGCAGGUAGAAACCACAAUAGUAACAUAGUAAUGUCACACUUCAUAUAUACCUCAUGAGUGCAAAUGUCUGCAAAUGCAAGGAUGACUUCUGCCUUCAUACCUCUAAGGAUAUGAAGCCGCAUCGUACCCCUCCUCGGGCAACGUACGAUGCUAAAAGUGUACCGGUACGGUCGGACCAUAAGAUCACGACAUAACUUCAAAAUGCAAUAUGGAUGAUGCGAUGUGCAUGACAUGCCUACAACACUUCAUACAACAUGAUUCAAAAAGAUACUUCAACUUCAUCCAAGAUGGGAAUCAACCACAUAUAUCAUUCCCAAAUCAUGAUCAUCCUCAAUAUUAGACAAUUGAGAAUUAAUUCUUUCGAACAAAUAAACUUCAUCAUAGAAUUCAAUGAUUAACACAUUUAAUACUUAUGCAUACUCAAUGACAAGGCAUAGGAUGCAAACCAAACGGUAGCAACCACCACUGUAUUUACUUGCCUUCACCGGGAAUUUGGAAUGGUACUAAGUACGAUCCGGAAGUCCACCACCUUGGAUUCCUCCUUUCCUCCUUCCUUCCUCCCACCAAUUCUCCAAUCGGAACUUGCACCCACACGAAGAAGAUCCGGCGAGGAAGGACAUCACUUGGAGAGGAGGAGAUGGGAGGGGGGUGGCGGCUAGGGUUGAGGGGAUGGGGGCUGCUGCACAAGAGAGAGGGAAUUAGGGGGAGGGGAUGGCGGCCAAAGGCUAGAGAGGGGGGGGGGCGGCUGCACAAGGGGAAGGGAAUUAGGGGAAGGGGCGGCUAGGGUUAGGGGGGUUAGUGGGCCGGAUCAAGAACCACGGCCCAACUCGCUCACGCGUCAACUCCCGACCCCGGCGCACAAGUCUAACCAAAAU